rnacentral:rRNA from 1 species
AGAGUUUGAUCAUGGCUCAGGACGAACGCUGGCGGCGUGCUUAACACAUGCAAGUCGAACGGUGACCCUGGAGCUUGCUCCAGGCGAUCAGUGGCGAACGGGUGAGUAACACGUGAGUAACCUGCCCCAGACUCUGGGAUAAGCCUUGGAAACGAGGUCUAAUACCGGAUACGAGACGAGACUGCAUGGUCAUCGUCUGGAAAGAAUUUCGGUCUGGGAUGGACUCGCGGCCUAUCAGCUAGUUGGUGAGGUAAUGGCUCACCAAGGCGACGACGGGUAGCCGGCCUGAGAGGGCGACCGGCCACACUGGAACUGAGACACGGUCCAGACUCCUACGGGAGGCAGCAGUGGGGAAUAUUGCACAAUGGGCGCAAGCCUGAUGCAGCGACGCCGCGUGGGGGAUGAAGGCCUUCGGGUUGUAAACCCCUUUCAGCAAGGAAGAAGCGAAAGUGACGGUACUUGCAGAAGAAGCGCCGGCUAACUACGUGCCAGCAGCCGCGGUAAUACGUAGGGCGCAAGCGUUGUCCGGAAUUAUUGGGCGUAAAGAGCUCGUAGGCGGUUUGUCGCGUCUGCUGUGAAAUCCCGAGGCUCAACCUCGGGCUUGCAGUGGGUACGGGCAGACUAGAGUGUGGUAGGGGAGACUGGAAUUCCUGGUGUAGCGGUGGAAUGCGCAGAUAUCAGGAGGAACACCAAUGGCGAAGGCAGGUCUCUGGGCCACAACUGACGCUGAGGAGCGAAAGCAUGGGGAGCGAACAGGAUUAGAUACCCUAGUAGUCC